rnacentral:rRNA from 1 species
AUGGCCUUUUCUAUUUUGUUUCCAACCAAAUCAAAUCACCGGCACAGCACAGAUCAACCAAGAAUCUACAGGCACCCGGGCAGCAUAAUUAGCUUGCCAUGGACACAUAUGGGAAGCAACAGGCACCUACCACCGGAUGCCGUGCCCUGCACUGCCUCCCAAAACAACAUCGAUGGUUCUUCAGAAUACAGCAGUCGUUUCUUCAGAAUACAGCGGUCUUUCUUCAAAACAACAUCGAUGGUUAUCUUGUCGAUCCAAACAAAACUUUCCGCGGCUAGCCGGCGAUGGACACCUUCCGGGACUGCCGCUGCCCACGGUGGGACUGGGACUCCGUCUCCGCCGAGAAGCGCUGCAGUCUCCGCGCGGCCUGCCUGCCGCAGACGGCGUCGAGGUGCAUCUGCUCGUGGCGGCACUCCUCGCUGCAGAAGGGCGUGUCCCCUCUGUACAUGA